GACAUCACCUACUAUAACUAUAGUCUCAAGACCAAUCAGUAACUACUUCAGCAUCCCCAGUUAGUAGUUCUGUUGCCAAGCAGGUUACAGCGACAACACCUGUUGCAACUGUACCUCCAAGCCAGUCAUCAAGUAUGAUAGCUAGCUUGGUAACGAGUGCUCUGAAGCGGAAACGAGAGGAAGACGAGGACUACGAUAAUCCAUGAUCUGCACUGUCUGUGUUGCUCAUAAGCCGUGUAUUUAUAUGUUAUUAUUAUCUAGUGUGUUGCCAAUCUUUUGCGUUUCCAUUCUCUGCAUUGUAUUUUUGUUAUCUUCUCUUCCACUGUCUUGUCUUCUAAUGUCAUUGGGUUGGUCGUCAUCUACUGCAUUUUCUGGUGCGCUACCGUCUGGUCUAUGUUGUCUUCUAUUGUAUUGCCAUGUAUUUUUGCAUAAAAUUUAAUUAAAUUAAUAACUUUCUCAGACUACCGUGCUCGUCUUACGGUAGUUUAUUGAGUUACCUUGAUCAUAACAAAAUAUUGACAUUGGAGAUGUAUUAGUUCACAUAGUUUAUCACAACCGAUCUAACAUGUCUAAUCGUGAAUAAAUAUAGGAGUUCUUGCAGUUAAAUUAA